GUUUGAUUAUGGCUCAGAUUGAACGCUGGCGGGAUGCUUUACAUGCAAGUCGAACGGCAGCAGCACGGACUUCGGUCUGGUGGCGAGUGGCAGGCAAUUGAGUAAUGUAUCGGAACGUGCCUAGUAGCGGGGGAUAACUACGCGAAAGCGUAGCUAAUACCGCAUACGCCCUUCGGGGAAAGCGGGGACCUUCGGGCCUCACACUAUUGAAGCAGCCGAUAUCCUGAUUAGCUAGUUGGUGGGGUAACGGCUCGCAAGGCGACGAUCCGUAGCUGGUUUGAGAGGACGACCAGCCACACCAGGACUGAGACACGGCCCAAGACUCCUACGGGAGGCAGCAGUGGGGAAUUUUUGGACAAUGGAAACCUGGUCAGCCAUCCCGCGUGUGCGAUGAAGGCCUUCGGGUUGUAAACACUUUGGCAGGAAAAGAAACGGCGCAGGAUAAUACCCCGAUGCAACUGACGGUACCUGCAGAAUAAGCACCGGCUAACUACGUGCCAGCAGCCACCAGUCAAUACGUAGGAGUGCAAGCGUUAAUCAAAUUACUGGGCGUAAGCGUGCGCAGGCGGUUCGGAAGAAAGAUGUGAAAUCCCAGAGCUUAACUUUGGAACUGCAUUUUUAACUACCGAGCUAGAGUGUGUGUCAGAGGGAGGUGGAAUUCCGCGUGUAGCAGUGAAAUGCGUAGAUAUGCGGAGGAACACCGAUGGCGAAGGCAGCCUCCUGGGAUAACGCGGCCGCUGUGCACGAAAGCGUGGGAGCAAACAGGAUUAGAUACCCUGGUAGUCCACGCCCUAAACGAUGUCAGCCAACUGUUGGGGCCUUCGGGCCUUGGUAGCGCAGCUAACGCGUGAAGUUGACCGCCUGGGGAGUACGGUCGCAGAGAUUAAAACUCAAAGGAAUUGACGGGGACCCACAAGCGGUGGAUGAUGUGGAUUAAUUCGAUGCUUGCGAAAACCGCCACCUACCCUUGACAUGUCUGGAAUCCCGAGAUUUGGGAGUGCUCGCAAAGAGAACCGGAACAGGUGCUGCAUAAGCUGUCGUCAGUUUCAGUGUCGAUGAGAUGUUGGGUUAAGUCCGCAACGAGCGCAACCCUUGUCAUUAGUUGCUACAGAAGGGCAUGGCCGGAACUGCCGGUGAAGCAAAACCGGAAGGUGGGGAUGACGUCAAGUCCUCAUGGCCCUUAUGGGUAGGGCUACGCGUCACAAUGGUCGGGACAGAGGGUCGCCCAGCCGCAGGGGAAGACAAUCCCAGAAACCCGAUCGUAGUCCGGAUCGCAGUCUGCUCGACUGCGCGUGAAGUCGGAAUCGCUAGUAAUCGCAGAUCAGCAUGUCGCGGUGAAUACGUUCCCGGGUCCUGUACACACCGCCCGUCACACCAUGGGAGUGGGUUUUACCGAAGUAGUUAGCCUAACCGUAAGGAGGGCGAUUACCACGGUAGGAUUCAUGACUGGGGUGAAGUCGUAACAAGGUAA
rnacentral:rRNA from 1 species